rnacentral:rRNA from 1 species
CUGAUGCAGCGACGCCGCGUGAGGGAUGACGGCCUUCGGGUUGUAAACCUCUUUCAGUAGGGAAGAAGCGAAAGUGACGGUACCUGCAGAAGAAGCACCGGCUAACUACGUGCCAGCAGCCGCGGUAAUACGUAGGGUGCGAGCGUUAUCCGGAAUUAUUGGGCGUAAAGAGCUCGUAGGCGGUUUGUCGCGUCUGUCGUGAAAGUCCGGGGCUUAACCCCGGAUCUGCGGUGGGUACGGGCAGACUAGAGUGCAGUAGGGGAGACUGGAAUUCCUGGUGUAGCGGUGGAAUGCGCAGAUAUCAGGAGGAACACCGAUGGCGAAGGCAGGUCUCUGGGCUGUAACUGACGCUGAGGAGCGAAAGCAUGGGGAGCGAACAGGAUUAGAUACCCUGGUAGUCCAUGCCGUAAACGUUGGGCACUAGGUGUGGGGACCAUUCCACGGUUUCCGCGCCGCAGCUAACGCAUUAAGUGCCCCGCCUGGGGAGUACGGCCGCAAGGCUAAAACUCAAAGGAAUUGACGGGGGCCCGCACAAGCGGCGGAGCAUGCGGAUUAAUUCGAUGCAACGCGAAGAACCUUACCAAGGCUUGACAUGUUCUCGAUCGCCGUAGAGAUACGGUUUCCCCUUUGGGGCGGGAUCACAGGUGGUGCAUGGGUGCAUGGUUGUCGUCAGCUCGUGUCGUGAGAUGUUGGGUUAAGUCCCGCAACGAGCGCAACCCUCGUUCCAUGUUGCCAGCACGUAAUGGUGGGGACUCAUGGGAGACUGCCGGGGUCAACUCGGAGGAAGGUGGGGACGACGUCAAAUCAUCAUGCCCCUUAUGUCUUGGGCUUCACGCAUGCUACAAUGGCCGGUACAAUGGGUUGCGAUACUGUGAGGUGGAGCUAAUCCCAAAAAGCCGGUCUCAGUUCGGAUUGGGGUCUGCAACUCGACCCCAUGAAGUCGGAGUCGCUAGUAAUCGCAGAUCAGCAACGCUGCGGUGAAUACGUUCCCGGGCCUUGUACACACCGCCCGUCAAGUCACGAAAGUCGGUAACACCCGAAGCCGGUGGCCUAACCCUUGUGGGGGGAGCUGUCGAAGGUGGGACCAGCGAUUGGACUAAGUCGAUCAAGAGCA